rnacentral:rRNA from 1 species
GAUGAACGCUGGCGGCGUGCCUAAUACAUGCAAGUCGAGCGAACAGACGAGGAGCUUGCUCCUCUGACGUUAGCGGCGGACGGGUGAGUAACACGUGGAUAACCUACCUAUAAGACUGGGAUAACUUCGGGAAACCGGAGCUAAUACCGGAUAAUAUAUUGAACCGCAUGGUUCAAUAGUGAAAGACGGUUUUGCUGUCACUUAUAGAUGGAUCCGCGCCGCAUUAGCUAGUUGGUAAGGUAACGGCUUACCAAGGCGACGAUGCGUAGCCGACCUGAGAGGGUGAUCGGCCACACUGGAACUGAGACACGGUCCAGACUCCUACGGGAGGCAGCAGUAGGGAAUCUUCCGCAAUGGGCGAAAGCCUGACGGAGCAACGCCGCGUGAGUGAUGAAGGUCUUCGGAUCGUAAAACGCUGUUAUUAGGGAAGAACAAAUGUGUAAGUAACUAUGCACGUCUUGACGGUACCUAAUCAGAAAGCCACGGCUAACUACGC